rnacentral:rRNA from 1 species
GACGAACGCUGGCGGCGUGCCUAAUACAUGCAAGUAGAACGCUGAAGAGAGGAGCUUGCUCUUCUUGGAUGAGUUGCGAGCGGGUGAGUAACGCGUAGGUAACCUGCCUUGUAGCGGGGGAUAACUAUUGGAAACGAUAGCUAAUACCGCAUAACAAUGGAUGACACAUGUCAUUUAUUUGAAAGGGGCAAUUGUUCCACUACAAGAUGGACCUGCGUUGUAUUAGCUAGUAGGUGAGGUAAUGGCUCACCUAGGCGACGAUACAUAGCCGACCUGAGAGGGUGAUCGGCCACACUGGGACUGAGACACGGCCCAGACUCCUACGGGAGGCAGCAGUAGGGAAUCUUCGGCAAUGGGGGCAACCCUGACCGAGCAACGCCGCGUGAGUGAAGAAGGUUUUCGGAUCGUAAAGCUCUGUUGUAAGUCAAGAACGGGUGUGAGAGUGGAAAGUUCACACUGUGACGGUAGCUUACCAGAAAGGGACGGCUAACUACGUG